rnacentral:rRNA from 1 species
AGUGAACGCUGGCGGUAGGCCUAACACAUGCAAGUCGAACGGCAGCACAGUAAGAGCUUGCUCUUACGGGUGGCGAGUGGCGGACGGGUGAGGAAUACAUCGGAAUCUACUUUUUCGUGGGGGAUAACGUAGGGAAACUUACGCUAAUACCGCAUACGACCUACGGGUGAAAGCAGGGGAUCUUCGGACCUUGCGCGAUUGAAUGAGCCGAUGUCGGAUUAGCUAGUUGGCGGGGUAAAGGCCCACCAAGGCGACGAUCCGUAGCUGGUCUGAGAGGAUGAUCAGCCACACUGGAACUGAGACACGGUCCAGACUCCUACGGGAGGCAGCAGUGGGGAAUAUUGGACAAAGGGCGCAAGCCUGAUCCAGCCAUACCGCGUGGGUGAAGAAGGCCUUCGGGUUGUAAAGCCCUUUUGUUGGGAAGGAAAAGCAGCAGGUUAAUACCCCGCUGUUCUGACGGUACCCAAAGAAUAAGCACCGGCUAACUUCGCG